AAAAUUAUCUCAAAUUUGUUGAUGCUUGUUGACGAAAAGACUAUCUUUGGAAUACAUAUACAAACUAAAUUAUGGAUCAGUCUUUCCUCUUCUAGGGUUAUGGGACAACUUUGAGGCUCCAUUAGAUUAGAUUAGUCUCACAAUCCAUUCAUGAUUUUCUUAUAUUUUUACUCAAAAUUUAUUUUUGUUCUCUAUCAUGUCAGUAUUUCAAAAUUUAAUAUUUUUUCCUAAUCAAUAUAUUUCUUCUCUAAGGAGGCAGAGAACUUUUUAUGAGGGAAAAAAAUUAUUAGAGCUAUCUAAAAAUGGUAUGAGCUGCCUCAUGAAAUUCUCCAACACCAGAAAUAUUUAACAGAGGCUGAAUGAUCACUUGUCAGAAAUAUUGCAGAAGGAUUUUUUUUCUUAGAGUGGAAAGUUGGAUUAGGUGACCUAACUCUUCUGUUUUUUCACAAGUAGGCAUUAUACUAUCAAGCAGCAAGCACUGAGACCUAAUUCUGGUACCAAUUCAAUGAUUCAAGCUUUGACCUUGAUUUUGCUUCUUUGCCUUUCCCUUUGCUUCUUUUGACCUCAGUUUUCUCAUCUAUAAAAUGAGUUGGAUGAGAUCUGUAAGGCCUCUUCUAGCUCUAAUUUUUUUUUUCAGUAUAAGGGUCUAUAUUUCUUUGAUUUUUAACCUUCAUUCUAUAUUUCUUUGAUUUUUACCUUUAUUCAGCCAUUUCUUAUUUGGACUCCUAGUUUCCUGGGUGUUUGGUACCAUGAACACCAUUAAGUCUUUAAGUUCCCAGAAAAACAACUCCUCCAAGAAUCCUUGUUCUCAAAGAGCCAGUGAUGUAUUCAAAGAGACAAGACCUAAUACUGUUAAAAAAAAAAAAAGUCAUCGAGGAGAAUGACCGGGCUGGGCAAGCCACCUUACUCGGAAUGUCGAUUUCCUUGCCUGAAAAAUUGGCACAAUAAUAUUUUCAUUAGAGGACUAAUGUGACUUAGUGGCCUCAGAGUCUAGAAGACCAGAAUUUAAAAUGCUUAUGACACAUGUUAAUUUCAUGAUCCUGGACAACUUAUUGAAUGUGUGGGAGCCUUUGAUAAAUCUUUAAGACUAAUAGGCAGAAAAUGUUUGUAGCAGCCCUGUUUGUAGUGGCUAGAAACUGGAAAAUGAAUGGAUGCCCAUCAAUUGGAGAAUGGCUGGGUAAAUUGUGGUAUAUGAAUGUUAUGGAAUAUUAUUGUUCUGUAAGAAAUGACCAACAGGAUGGAUACAGAGAGGCUUGGAGAGACUUACAUGAACUGAUGCUAAGUGAGAUGAGCAGAACCAGGAGAUCAUUAUACACUUCGACAUCGAUAUUGUAUGAGGAUGUAUUCUGAUGGAAGUGGAUUUCUAUGACAAAGAGACCUAACUGAGUUUCAAUGGAUAAUUGAUGGACAGAAACAGCUACACCCAAAGAAGGAACACUGGGAAACGAAUGUGAACUAUUUGCAUUUUUGAUUUUCUUCCCGAGUUAUUUUUACCUUCUGAAUCCAGUUCUCCCUGUGCAACAGGAGAACUGUUUGGUUCUGCAAAUAUGUAUUAUAUCUAGGAUAUACUGCAACAUAUUUAACAUAUAUAGGACUGCUUGCCAUCUUGGGGGGGAGGAGUGGAGAGAGGGAGGGGAAAAAACGAAACAUAAGCAAGUGCAAGGGAUAAUGUUGUAAAAAAUUACCCUGGCAUGGAUUCUGUCAAUACAAAGUUAUUAUUAAAUAAAAUUAAAUUAAAAAAAAAGACUAAUAGGCAGAACAGUUGCUGAACUUCCACUUCACUGAGUGUAAAGCAGUUUUUAAACUUUACAUGACUGUCUGAGGAGUUUGUCAUUCGUUCACUCUUGUUGAACUUUUUGUGAUCCUAUGGACCUAAAUAUGAGCUUCUCUUAUUAUUCCUGAAGCUCUGAGGAAACUGAGCUCUUCAUGGGCUGGUGUGAACUCAAGAGCUGAGUUUUUAAAAAUAGGUGAAAAAGAUGCCGUCUAGAGGGAGGAAAUUGUAUGAAAAAAGACUGUGAGUUGGAAAUGAAUAUAAUUUGUUUAAAAGAUAAUGUGACUAUCCUGACUAAAGCAGAAGAUUUGUUCUGGUGAAUAGUGAAAUGGGGAGAUUGGAGAGUCGAGUUGAAUGUCAGGCUAAAGAAGUUGAACUUUAGCCUCUGGAAUAUGGAGGACCACUGCUGAGAAAUGAUGGGAUAAAAUUGACAUUUUAAGAUUAGCUUAGAGGCAGUUGGCAAAGUGGAUUGGAGUAGGGGGAAGAACUAGAACUAGAGAUACCAGUUAGGAGAUUCUUGAAAUAUCCCUUGUGUGAAGUUCAAAGUUUUGAAUGAGACUGGUGAGGAUGGGUAUGGUAAGGAAAGGUCAUAUGAGAGAAGACUAUACAUGGGAAAUAUGAACUGGAUUUUUGGUGGACUUGGUUAGGUUAGUAAAAAGAAGGUAGAAGUCUAAAGUACAAGGCCUUGAUAUUUAAUUUUUUCUCAUUUUUCCUUUCAUUUUUAAUUUUUCUUAAUUAUUGUUAUUGUUAGAUUUUACAGGCUGGAGGGAACAAAAGCCUGAGUAAACUGGCCCAGUUUCUUGAGCUUCCUGUAAAGUUGGGGUAUCUUAUUCCUCUUAGAAACAUGGAUUGUUUAGUGAGAUUGCAUAAAAACAUCUUCUACAUCCUGUACAUUCUUAAGUUAGGUUCAUCUUAUAUAAGUUAUCUACUUCAACUCAUUUGAUGAUAGCAGUUUGGUAAUGACUGGAGAGACGGGUUCUCCCUUUCCAAUCAGUAGAUUGAACAGAUCUACUAGUAAAACUCAAAAUCUUAUCUAGUAAAUCUCCAAACUGGUAAUCACUGCUCUAUGCCCCUCUUCAGCUCUUGGACAUUACUUGUGCAAUAGGGAGUUAGAGUCCAGUAUCUCCCAGCAAACAGCUUGUUCUCUCAGAAUUGAUAAUGGAUCCUGUUCAUCUAGUGCUUAAAGGCUUUUAAAGCUAUUUAACCACCAACAUCCUUGGGAGAUAGGUAUUAUAAGUAUUAUUAUCCCUGAUUUGUAGCUGACAAAGCUGGACCUCAGCAUCACAAACUUAAAUCUUCUGACUACGCAGCUUCAUGUUGUCCAACUCCUGACUCUGAUAGUAAUCACGCAACUUUAGGAAAGUUAAGGCAACUCCUUAUGAUGAAAAAGUCGGGUAUCCCUUUUGUAGGAAAAUGAGAGAACUAUUCAUUACUGAGUAAUAACUAACUGCAGAGGUAGCAUUGUCCAAUGAAAAGAAUGUUAGAUUUAGAAUCAGAAGACUUGAAUAUAAAUCUUGUUUUGUUAAUUUCCUAACUUUGUGGCCUAAGUUACUGGUUGUAUAGCCCUCAAUAAAUCACUUUGCCCUUCUGAAUCUCAAUUUCCUUAACUAUAAAAUAGAGAUAAUAAGACUAAUACCAACUCCAUAGGGUUUUUGUGAGGGUCAAGUGAAAUACUGAACAUAAAAUACUUUGUGAACCUUAAAGUGUUGAAGACUUUUGGGAAGCCCUGUCAAAAAUAUACAGAUUUAGUAACCAUCGUGAAAUAAAUCUUUUGACCAGAUAGAAUCAUAGUAGCAUGAUUUACUGAUAAUCACAAAGUGUAUAUAGACCUGAGCCAUGAUAAUAUCAGUAAAAAGUGGGUUCUUUCUGCUCCAGUCCUCCAACAACUUUUCUGUCCACUAAAAAUGGCAUUAAUAAUACCUUCUUUGUGAAACUGGAUCUCAGGGCAAUAUAGACCAGAGCUGACCAGCCCAGACUACACACUAGGUACUUGUCAGUCAACUGGUAACAAACAGAGGUCUUAGCAAAACUAUUCAAAUUGACACUCUGGGCAGUGCAAAUGAAGCUCGCCAUCUUAUACUCUCAUCCAGUUAGAUGCAUUUGUCCUACGUAGCAAGGCAGUUACAAAACCUAAGUUUUCUUUUUCUGUUUUACCCUUUCCAACAAGGGAGGAUAGGGAAGAACAAUGAAUACUUUUCAGAGGCUUCACCUCUCACAAACUCUAGAUGGCACCGAAGAGCAAUAGCUGGAAUUGAAGCUUUCUGCUGUUCCUGACCCAAUCAAAAAAUUGUAAUGUAACCUUCUAAUCAACUGAAGCCCCUGCUGCUGGUUUCUUAGGUAGCUUAACUGUUCUAGCCAGACUUCUUAGACCUUUUUGCUCCUAAUUGCUAGAUUCUUAACUAUUUUUCAGUGGCUUAAAUCAGAACUUCCUGGUAUUUGCUGACUUAACCUCUUUACUUAUGAUGUAAAAACUCACCAAAUCUCCCUAUAAAAUCAGUAGCCUACAGUUCUAAUGCUCUUGUGAUGGAGAGAGCCAUCUGCACUCAGAGAGAAGACUGUGGGGAUAAACAUAGAAAAUAGAGAUAGAAGAGUGUGGAUCACAACAUAGUAUUUUCACUUUUUGUUAUUUGUUGCUUGUUUUGUUGUUUGUUUUGUUUUUGUUCUCAUUUUUUUCCCCUUUUUGAUCUUAUUUUUCUUGUGUGGUGUGAUAAAUGUGGAAAUAUGUAUAGAAGAAUUGCACAUGUUUAACAUAUAUUGGAUUACUUGCCAUCUAUUGGAGGGAGUGGAGGAAAGGGAGAAAAAAAUGUGGUUUUGCAAGGGUGAUUGUUGAAAAUUAUGCAUUUGUUUUGAAAAUAAAAAGCUUUAAUUAAAAAAAGAA